AUUGAACGCUGGCGGCAGGCCUAACACAUGCAAGUCGAGCGAGCGGCGGACGGGUGAGUAAUGUCUGGGAAACUGCCUGAUGGAGGGGGAUAACUACUGGAAACGGUAGCUAAUACCGCAUACCAUCAGAUGUGCCCAGGUGGGAUUAUCUAGUAGGUGGGGUAACGGCUCACCUAGGCGACGAUCCCUAGCUGGUCGGAGAGGAUGACCAGCACCACUGGAACGUAGACACGGUCCAGACUCCUACGGGAGGCAGCAGUGGGGAAUAUUGUACAAUGGGAGCAAGCCUGAUGCAGCCAUGCCGCGUGGGUGAAGAAGGCCUUCGGGUUGUAAAGCACUUUCAGCGGGGAGGCGUUACCCGCAGAAGAAGCACCGGCUAACUCCGUGCCAGCAGCCGCGGUAAUAC
rnacentral:rRNA from 1 species